rnacentral:lncRNA from 1 species
UUUCUCCUCUCUAUAGAUUUUGCAACCAUAUCCACAUAUUGAUCCAUUAACUGGAUAGAACCUUUCAAGGCUUUUCACAUCCAUCACUACCUUCUCAUGUCCAGAAAUGAGUACCCUUUAUAUAGUUCUCUCGUAGUACUGGAUGUAGUUGGGUGAUUCACAACCUCAAAGAGACACAUACAAUGUGUCACUUUAUAUAAGAGAUAAGAGAUUAUAAAUUUUUAAGGACAACAUAUCACUUUCAGUCUUUCAUCCGAUGAUUGUAAAGCAUANACUUUAUAUAAGAGAUAAGAGAUUAUAAAUUUUUAAGGACAACAUAUCACUUUCAGUCUUUCAUCCGAUGAUUGUAAAGCAUACACUGGAGUGGAACUACAGCCUUUUUUGCUAUGAUCAGUGGUGGUUGGCACAACAAUGCUUCUAGGUGAGUUUCAGACAACAGUCAAGAUCACACAAUCAAUGUGACUUCAUUUUUAUCAUUAAUUUGAACAAUAUUUGUAUUGUAAUAACAAUCGGUGCGUGUUCGGUACACAAGACUAGACAAAUAAUGAACAAAAAUUUAACUUUUCUUUUUCUUCUUUAAUUUUAUCCAGUAUUUUCAAAUCUUUCCCAUCAAAAAUACCAUUGUGGUAUUACAUUUCGAAACACCAUGAACAUAAAAUGUUGAAACAACACUGCUCCAUUGUUCUGGAUAAAGUCCUAAUCCCUACUUCCAAGAGCAAUAAUAAACUAAAAGUAAUUUGAAUAUGAACAAAGCAGACAAAGAUUUAUAAUGGUCCAACCUAAAUGUGAGAGCUAUACCCACUUAGAGUUACAACUUUUCACUAUAUUGGAGGUGUAAAAGGGUUUUCUCACGUUUUAGUGAAAGCAAAAGAUAACAAACCAUAUUAAUGAUGCAUCUACUAGUAUUCAACAAUGCUACCAAAAAAGUGUGAACCAAACCAAUUUGUACAUCUGGAUCAUGCCAGCAUCUAGGACUGUUGAUGAAAGAAUGCAUGAAAGUAAAGGCAUUUAUUGUUUUGUUUAUCAAUUAAGAAAUCAAUAAAGUCUACUACUUGGCAUUUUAUUGAUGAAUGAUUUUAAUAUUAAUCUGACUAUUUAUUGCACAUUACUUAUUUCGUGGAAGUUAAGCAUGUAAACAAAUUUAAAUUUUUGUACAAACUAUUGAAGUGUUCAAAGAUGAAAAUCUUUGUAAUAUUCUGAACCACAUUUUAUUCAUGAAAUGGCUUGGAUUGGCAUUAGUCUGGAUGCAGAAAAACCAUUCUAAUGCAACCACAAAGUCAUCAUAAGCUGAAUUCAAUUAAAAACUUUAGUCAAAAAACUAACACAGC